rnacentral:rRNA from 1 species
GAUGAACGCUGGCGGCGUGCCUAAUACAUGCAAGUCGAGCGAACAGAUAAGGAGCUUGCUCCUUUGACGUUAGCGGCGGACGGGUGAGUAACACGUGGAUAACCUACUUAUAAGACUGGGAUAACUUCGGGAAACCGGAGCUAAUACCGGAUAACAUAUUGAACCGCAUGGUUCAAUAGUGAAAGGCGGCUUUGCUGUCACUUAUAGAUGGAUCCGCGCUGUAUUAGCUAGUUGGUAAGGUAACGGCUUACCAAGGCAACGAUACGUAGCCGACCGGAGAGGGUGGUCGGCCACACUAGAACUGUGACACGGUCCAGACUCCUACGGGAGGCAGCGGUAGGGAAACGACCGCUGUGGGCGAAAGCCUGACGGAGCAACGCCACGUGGGUGAUAAAAAGCUUCGGAUCUUAAAACUCUGUUAUCAGUGAAGAACAAAAGUGUAAGGAACGGGGCACAUCAUGACAGUACCGGAUCAGAAAGCCACGGCUAACUACGUG